rnacentral:rRNA from 1 species
UGGGGAAUUUUGGACAAUGGGCGAAAGCCUGAUCCAGCCAUGCCGCGUGCGGGAAGAAGGCCUUCGGGUUGUAAACCGCUUUUGUCAGGGAAGAAACGAGUUUCUCUAAUACAGAGACUUAAUGACGGUACCUGAAGAAUAAGCACCGGCUAACUACGUGCCAGCAGCCGCGGUAAUACGUAGGGUGCAAGCGUUAAUCGGAAUUACUGGGCGUAAAGCGUGCGCAGGCGGUUAUGCAAGACAGAUGUGAAAUCCCCGGGCUCAACCUGGGAACUGCAUUUGUGACUGCAUAGCUGGAGUGCGGCAGAGGGGAAUGGAAUUCCGCGUGUAGCAGUGAAAUGCGUAGGUAUGCGGAGGAACACCGAUGGCGAAGGCAAUCCCCUGGGCCUGCACUGACGCUCAUGCACGAAAGCGUGGGGAGCAAACA